rnacentral:rRNA from 1 species
UACGUAGGUGGCGAGCGUUAUCCGGAUUUACUGGGCGUAAAGUGGGUGCAGACGGUUUUUCAAGUCGGGUGUAAAAUCUCUCAGCUUAACUGAGAGGGACCAUUCGAGACUGUUAGACUAGAGGACAACAGGGGGAGGUAGAAUUCCCGGUGUAGUGGUGGAAUGCGUAGAUAUCGGGAGGAAUACCAGUGGCGAAGGCGGCCUCCUGGGUUGUUUCUGACGUUCAUGCCCGAAGGUGUGGGGAGCGAACAGGAUUAGAUACCCUUGUA